rnacentral:rRNA from 1 species
UACGAAGGGGGCUAGGGUGGUUCGGAAUUACUGGGCGUAAGGCGCGCGCAGGCGGCUUUCCAAGUCAGGGGUGAAAGCCCGGAGCUCAACUCCGGAACUGCCAUUGAAACUGUUUAGCUUGAGUAUGAGAGAGGUGAGUGGAAUUCCCAGUGUAGAGGUGAAAUUCGUAGAUAUUGGGAAGAACACCGGUGGCGAAGGCGGCUCACUGGCUCAUUACUGACGCUCAGGCGCGACAGCGUGGGGAUCAAACAGG